AUACCGGACUCAAUGAGGCUCGGUAAUUGAAAUGAGUACAGUUUAAAACCCUUAACGAGGAUCUAUUGGAGGGCAAGUCUGGUGCCAGCAGCCGCGGUAAUUCCAGCUCCAAUAGCGUAUAUUAAAGUUGUUGCAGUUAAAAAGCUCGUAGUUGGAUCUCGGGUACCAGCAAGUGGUCUGCUUAAUUGCUGUCACUGCUUGUCUGGUCCUAAUCAACCGGUUGGCCGCUGAUGCCCUUUAUUGGGUGUUUUCGGUAGCCGGUACGUUUACUUUGAGAAAAUUAGAGUGCUUAAAGCAGGCCAUACGCCUGAAUAAUGUUGCAUGGAAUAAUAGAAUAGGACCUCGGUUCUAUUUUGUUGGUUUUGUAGAGCAUUGAGGUAAUGAUUAAUAGGGACAGACGGGGGCAUUCGUAUUGCGGUGUUAGAGGUGAAAUUCUUGGAUCGCCGCAAGACGAACAACUGCGAAAGCAUUUGCCAAGAAUGUUUUCAUUAAUCAAGAACGAAAGUUGGAGGUUCGAAGACGAUUAGAUACCGUCCUAGUUCCAACCAUAAACGAUGCCAACUAGCGAUUAGCUGCUGUUAUUUAAACGACACAGCUAGCAGCUUCCGGGAAACCAAAGUCUUUGGGUUCCGGGGGAAGUAUGGUUGCAAAGCUGAAACUUAAAGGAAUUGACGGAAGGGCACCACCAGGAGUGGAGCCUGCGGCUUAAUUUGACCCAACACGGGAAAUCUCACCCGGCCCGGACACUGUAAGGAUUGACAGAUUGAGAGCUCUUUCUUGAUUCGGUGGGUGGUGGUGCAUGGCCGUUCUUAGUUGGUGGAGCGAUUUGUCUGGUUAAUUCCGAUAACGAACGAGACUCUAACUUGCUAAAUAGUACGUCGAUCUUUUGUCGGCGCGUACUUCUUAGAAGGAUAAGUAGCGUAUAGCUACAUGAAAUUGGGCAAUAACAGGUCUGUGAUGCCCUUAGAUGUUCGGGGCCGCACGCGCGCUACACUGAAGGGAUAAGCGUGUUUCUCCUGCUCCGAAAGGAGUGGGUAACCCGCUGAAACCCCUUCGUGAUUGGGAUCGGGGCUUGAAACUAUUCUCCGUGAACGAGGAAUUCCCAGUAAGCGCAAGUCAUAAGCUUGCGUUGAUUACGUCCCUGCCCUUUGUACACACCGCCCGUCGCUACUACCGAUUGAAUGGUUUAGUGAGAUCCUCGGAUUGAUUCGGAGGUGGCCGCAAGGUUGCCUCUAGUUAUCGAGAAGACGAUCAAACUUGA
rnacentral:rRNA from 1 species